GGCUCGUUGGUCUAGGGUAUAUUCUUGCUUAGGGUGGAGAGGUCCUGGGUUCAAACCCCGGAUGAGCCC